rnacentral:rRNA from 1 species
AUUGGACGCUGGCGGCAUGCCUUACACAUGCAAGUCGAACGGUAACAGGUCUUCGGAUGCUGACGAGUGGCGAACGGGUGAGUAAUACAUCGGAACGUGCCCGAUCGUGGGGGAUAACGCAGCGAAAGCUGUGCUAAUACCGCAUACGAUCUACGGAUGAAAGCGGGGGAUCGCAAGACCUCGCGCGGACGGAGCGGCCGAUGGCAGAUUAGGUAGUUGGUGGGAUAAAAGCUUACCAAGCCGACGAUCUGUAGCUGGUCUGAGAGGACGACCAGCCACACUGGGACUGAGACACGGCCCAGACUCCUACGGGAGGCAGCAGUGGGGAAUUUUGGACAAAGGGCGCAAGCCUGAUCCAGCCAUGCCGCGUGCAGGAUGAAGGCCUUCGGGUUGUAAACUGCUUUUGUACGGAACGAAAAAGCUCUCUCUAAUACAGGGGGUGAAUGACGGUACCGUAAGAAUAAGCACCGGCUAACUACGUG